rnacentral:tRNA from 1 species
UAAUUUGAAAGCGAACUAUCGCACUAAGUUUCGGCCUUAGCCUUGGAAUAUACUCCUCAAAUUA